UACGGAGGGUGCAAGCGUUAUCCGGAUUCACUGGGUUUUAAGGGUGCGUAGGUGGGCUGGUAAGUCAGUGGUGAAAUCUCCGGGCUUAACUCGGAAACUGCCGUUGAUACUAUCAGUCUUGAAUGUUGUGGAGGUAAGCGGAAUAUGUCAUGUAGCGGUGAAAUGCUUAGAUAUGACAUAGAACACCGAUAGCGAAGGCAGCUUGCUACACAAUAAUUGACACUGAGGCACGAAAGCGUGGGGAUCAAACAGG
rnacentral:rRNA from 1 species